GAUGAACGCUGACAGAAUGCUUAACACAUGCAAGUCAACUUGAAUUUGGGUUUUUAACUUAGAUUUGGGUGGCGGACGGGUGAGUAACGCGUAAAGAACUUGCCUCACAGCUAGGGACAACAUUUAGAAAUGAAUGCUAAUACCUGAUAUUAUGAUUUUAAGGCAUCUUAGAAUUAUGAAAGCUAUAAGCACUGUGAGAGAGCUUUGCGUCCCAUUAGCUAGUUGGAGAGGUAACAGCUCACCAAGGCGAUGAUGGGUAGCCGGCCUGAGAGGGUGAACGGCCACAAGGGGACUGAGACACGGCCCUUACUCCUACGGGAGGCAGCAGUGGGGAAUAUCGGACAAUGGACCGAGAGUCUGAUCCAGCAAUUCUGUGUGCACGAUGAAGUUUUUCGGAAUGUAAAGUGCUUUCAGUUGGGAAGAAAGAAAUGACGGUACCAACAGAAGAAGUGACGGCUAAAUACGUGCCAGCAGCCGCGGUAAUACGUAUGUCACGAGCGUUAUCCGGAUUUAUUGGGCGUAAAGCGCGUCUAGGUGGUUAUGUAAGUCUGAUGUGAAAAUGCAGGGCUCAACUUUGUAUUGCGUUGGAAACUGUAUAACUAGAGUACUGGAGAGGUAAGCGGAACUACAAGUGUAGAGGUGAAAUUCGUAGAUAUUUGUAGGAAUGCCGAUGGGGAAGCCAGCUUACUGGACAGAUACUGACGCUAAAGCGCGAAAGCGUGGGUAGCAAACAGG
rnacentral:rRNA from 1 species